CUACGGGAGGCAGCAGUCGGGAAUUUUGGACAAUGGGCGCAAGCCUGAUCCAGCCAUGCCGCGUGAGUGAUGAAGGCUCUAGGGUUGUAAAGCCCUUUUGUGCGGGAAGAUAAUGACGGUACCGCAAGAAUAAGCACCGGCUAACUUCGUGCCAGCAGCCGCGGUAAUACGAAGGGGGCUAGCGUUGCUCGGAAUCACUGGGCGUAAAGGGUGCGUAGGCGGAUCUUUAAGUCAGAGGUGAAAGCCUGGAGCUCAACUCCAGAACUGCCUUUGAUACUGAGGAUCUCGAGUUCGGGAGAGGGGAGGUGAACUGCGAGUGUAGAGGUGAAAUUCGUAGAUAUUCGCAAGAACACCAGUGGCGAAGGCGGCUCACUGGCCCGAUACUGACGCUGAGGCACGAAAGCGUUGGGAGCAAACAGGAUUAGAUACCCCAGUAGUCC
rnacentral:rRNA from 1 species